rnacentral:rRNA from 1 species
CUUGGGUUCUAUUUUGUUGGUUUUCAGAACCGAGGUAAUGAUUAAUAGGGAUAGUUGGGGGCAUUAGUAUUUAAUUGUCAGAGGUGAAAUUCUUGGAUUUAUUAAAGACUAACUUCUGCGAAAGCAUUUGCCAAGGAUGUUUUCAUUAAUCAAGCACGAAAGUUAGGGGAUCGAACGCGAUCAGAUACCGCGGUAGUCUUAACCAUAAACUAUGCCGACUAGGGAUCGGACGAUGUUUUUUUUCAGACUCGUUCGGCACCUUAUGAGAAAUCAAAGUUUUUGGGUUCCGGGGGGAGUAUGGUCGCAAGGCUGAAACUUAAAGGAAUUGACGGAAGGGCACCACCAGGAGUGGAGCCUGCGGCUUAAUUUGACUCAACACGGGGAAACUCACCAGGUCCAGA